GUAUACAGCACAUAUGCUAAAAUUGAAGCAACACAAAGAAAAUUAGCAUUGUCCCUAAGCAAGGAUGACAUGCAAAUUUGUGAUGCAUUCCAUAUAUUU
rnacentral:snRNA from 1 species